CCCGGAAAUAUUUUGGGCGUAAAAGCGCGCGCAGGCGGUGCUCUUUAAGUCUGAUGUGAAAAGCCCACGGCUCAACCGUGGAGGGGCCAUUUGGAAACUGGGGGACUUGAGUGCAGAAGAGGAGAGUGGAAUUCCACGUGUAGCGGUGAAAUGCGUAGAUAUGUGGAGGAACACCAGUGGCGAAGGCGGCUCUCUGGUCUGUAACUGACGCUGAGASGCGAAAGCGUGGGGAGCGAACAGGAUUAGAUACCCUGGUAGUSCACGCCGUAAACGAUGAGUGCUAGGUGUUGGGGGGUUCCACCCUCAGUGCUGAAGUUAACACAUUAAGCACUCCGCCUGGGGAGUACGACCGCAAGGUUGAAACUCAAAGGAAUUGACGGGGGCCCGCACAAGCAGUGGAGCAUGUGGUUUAAUUCGAAGCAACGCGAAGAACCUUACCAGGUCUUGACAUCCUCUGCCACUCCUAGAGAUAGGACGUUUCCCUUCGGGGGACAGAGUGACAGGUGGUGCAUGGUUGUCGUCAGCUCGUGUCGUGAGAUGUUGGGUUAAGUCCCGCAACGAGCGCAACCCUUGAUCUUAGUUGCCAGCAUUYAGUUGGGCACUCUAAGGUGACUGCCGGUGACAAACCGGAGGAAGGUGGGGACGACGUCAAAUCAUCAUGCCCCUUAUGACCUGGGCUACACACGUGCUACAAUGGACGGUACAAAGGGCAGCAACACCGCGAGGUGAAGCGAAUCCCAUAAAGCCGUUCUCAGUUCGGAUUGUAGGCUGCAACUCGCCUACAUGAAGCCGGAAUUGCUAGUAAUCGCGGAUCAGCAUGCCGCGGUGAAUACGUUCCCGGGCCUUGUACACACCGCCCGUCACACCACGAGAGUUUGUAACACCCGAAGUCGGUGAGGUAACCUUUUGGA
rnacentral:rRNA from 1 species